GUCACCUAAGAGAAAUUGAAACAGAGACCCAUGGGCAGAACAGAGAAGGUGUACUGACUUCCAAAUGUGGGCCUGUAAAACGUUAUAAUGCACAUGGCAUCUAAGCUGAAUCUUAAAUGGACAACCAGAUCUGUUUCCAAUUUAAACAGACAUAAUGGAAUAUGCUUCCUUCUUCAAUUUCACAAUUAGCGUUCUGAUCCCUCUGAUUAACUUGAAUAUUUCCUGGUUUUCAAGCAAGCAAAAAGAAAGAAAAGAACAGUUACAUUUAAAGUUUAUCAGAGUUAAUUCUCCUGAUCACUGAUCUCUCAUCAACUAGCUUUCUGCCCUCCCAACCGAUAUUUAGAAGUUUUGCCUCUAAGGUCAUGUUAUCGAUCGGUCUGCAUGCGCCAAGUGCAUGCUAUGUGAUGGGCACCAUGUAAAAGAAUGAUGUGAAGAUAGAUUAUUUUCUGACAGAGGGUUUGGGGCAAACGUCAGCAUCACUUACUGUGGGCUUCAGUGCACAGCAGAAGUACCUUCUGUUCUCUUGGCAUCUGCAGAGAGGUGCGCUUGGAUGAGGACACGGCUUGAUGAGGACACAGAGCUUUGCUCUAGAAGAAGAACCCCCACCCCUGGUUCUUACGGAGCAAGCAUGGCAAUGACCUUGCCCAGAAGAAACACGGUGGUCUCGGCCAUGGCCACCAGGCACUCUGCAAGUGGGAGGUGGCUGGUGAGAAGAACACCAAAAAAACACUAGCAGCCCAGCUAGACCUAAGGCGCUCGUGAAUUUGGGCACAACCUCUCCUGCUGGUGGACAAGAAUACCUCAAAUCCCAGUCAGUUCAGCCAGGCCAUGUGGGAUGAGCAUCCUAGUUCCGCACCUGGACCUUCAGACUGCUUGUCUCCGUAGUUGUGAAGAUGAAUUGGAUAUGGUCCUUAAACACAAGGAACUCCCAGUCUAAAAUGAGGGACUUUCAUGGAAUCAAAUCAUUACAGGGCAUGUGUGAUGGAUACAUGCUUUAAAAGCUUGCCUGAAGUCUGUUUUUCUAUCUAAUGAUGUUUAGCGGAAUCCUCGGGUGAAAAUAUUGCUCAAGGCCCUUAUUUUCUUCAUGGAGGUGGCAUAAAUGCCCAAAGGGCCUGUGAAUCAUGCAAAUGAAUAGAGUAGGCCACAGAUAAGAGACCCAGGGUCGGUGGCAUGCAAAUUCUGGCAUAAUUUAUCUGUGGCUAAAACCCACUCAUGGCAAUGCCCUCUACACCAAGCUUAUUUUUUCAGUUCUGGGCCCCUGAGGAAAUCUCUCAGCACUGUCCACCUAGAUCUAGAAAAUGCAGUGACCUUUUCAGCUCAUAUAGCAAGAAUGAUGAACCUCCCAGUCUGCAGGUGGCACCAAAGUGGGCCAUUUCCUGCCAUUUUUUGAAAACUGUAAAAACACCACCAAAUAGUUCAAACCAAUCCAGAUCUUUAGCUAAGCGGUGCCAAGUUUCUUCCACGUCCAUUAGGCUAACCUUAACCAUAGUUUUCUACAAUAAAUUUAACCCAAAUACUGUA